ACUCCUACGGGAGGCAGCAGUGGGGAAUAUUGCACAAUGGGGGAAACCCUGAUGCAGCCAUGCCGCGUGUGUGAAGAAGGGCCUUCGGGUUGUAAAGCACUUUCAGUAGGGAGGAAGGUAGUGUAGUUAACACCUGCAUUAUUUGACGUUACCUACAGAAGAAGCACCGGCUAACUCCGUGCCAGCAGCCGCGGUAAUACGGAGGGUGCGAGCGUUAAUCGGAAUUACUGGGCGUAAAGCGCAUGCAGGCGGCCUGUUAAGUCAGAUGUGAAAGCCCGGGGCUUAACCUCGGAAUUGCAUUUGAAACUGGCAGGCUAGAGUCUUGUAGAGGGGGGUAGAAUUUCAGGUGUAGCGGUGAAAUGCGUAGAGAUCUGAAGGAAUACCAGUGGCGAAGGCGGCCCCCUGGACAAAGACUGACGCUCAGAUGCGAAAGCGUGGGGAGCAAACAGGAUUAGAUACCCUGGUAGGAUAGCG
rnacentral:rRNA from 1 species